rnacentral:tRNA from 1 species
UGGCAGAAACAUAUGCAAUGAAUUUAAGAUUCAUUUAUAAAGAUUUAUCUUUUAUUAGAA